ACUCAGAUCUAAACAAAAAAGAAAUAAAGGCAGCAAAGUUAUCAGCUCUAAAGCAAGCACUCUUAACGGGAAAGAAAGUUGAGACAACAAAAUGUAGUAACAUAAUGUUUGAGAGAUUAUCAUGGAUAAAGGCACUAAGGCAGGCUAAGGAGAAAUUACUGGAAGAAAACACUUCUGAGUCCAUCUAAUCUCAGCCAUGCACAAAGCAGGAGAAAAAAGGAGAAAGAGGUACAACGAAUACUCUGAGAAGAUUGUCUUGGUUCAAGAUGCCUGCAUGGUGCCGGUGACUGUAGGCCUGUGCCAAAUAUUCCGGAAUAAUUUUUUGAAUAAUAGGCAGUCUUUUUCCAAUUUAAAUAAUGGCACUGUGAAAACAGUUUAAUGAUAUUCAUUGAGUUGCACAUGCGCAGUAGCUCAGAACACGCCCACAUUUUACACGGCAGUAAACCUAAUUUUUAUGAUGUUAGUCCAAUUAAUGACCACAUUUUUGUGCUAAAGUUUGUUAUUUCGUUGCUGAAAUUGAUUUUUUGGUGCUAUAUAUUUUAAUUUCGCUGCGAUGUAUGUGAAUAAUAGGUGACAUCAAUUAAUAAUAGGG